GACGAACGCUGGCGGCGUGCCUAAUACAUGCAAGUUGAGCGCUGAAGGUUGGUACUUGUACCGACUGGAUGAGCAGCGAACGGGUGAGUAACGCGUGGGGAAUCUGCCUUUGAGCGGGGGACAACAUUUGGAAACGAAUGCUAAUACCGCAUAAAAACUUUAAACACAAGUUUUAAGUUUGAAAGAUGCAAUUGCAUCACUCAAAGAUGAUCCCGCGUUGUAUUAGCUAGUUGGUGAGGUAAAGGCUCACCAAGGCGAUGAUACAUAGCCGACCUGAGAGGGUGAUCGGCCACAUUGGGACUGAGACACGGCCCAAACUCCUACGGGAGGCAGCAGUAGGGAAUCUUCGGCAAGGGACGAAAGUCUGACCGAGCAACGCCGCGUGAGGGAAGAAGGUUGUCGGAUCGUAAAACUCGGUUGGUAGAGAAGAACGUUGGUGAGAGUGGAAAGCUCAUCAAGUGACGGUAACUACCCAGAAAGGGACGGCUAACUACGUG
rnacentral:rRNA from 1 species